rnacentral:rRNA from 1 species
AGUGAACGCUGGCGGUAGGCCUAACACAUGCAAGUCGAACGGCAGCACAGUAAGAGCUUGCUCUUACGGGUGGCGAGUGGCGGACGGGUGAGGAAUACAUCGGAAUCUACUUUUUCGUGGGGGAUAACGUAGGGAAACUUACGCUAUACCGCAUACGACCUACGGGUGAAAGCAGGGGAUCUUCGGACCUUGCGCGAUUGAAUGAGCCGAUGUCGGAUUAGCUAGUUGGCGGGGUAAAGGCCCACCAAGGCGACGAUCCGUAGCUGGUCUGAGAGGAUGAUCAGCCACACUGGAACUGAGACACGGUCCAGACUCCUACGGGAGGCAGCAGUGGGGAAUAUUGGACAAAGGGCGCAAGCCUGAUCCAGCCAUACCGCGUGGGUGAAGAAGGCCUUCGGGUUGUAAAGCCCUUUUGUUGGGAAAGAAAAGCAGCAGGUUAAUACCCCGCUGUUCUGACGGUACCCAAAGAAUAGGCACCGGCUAACUUCGUG